rnacentral:lncRNA from 1 species
ACUAAAUUCCUGUGAUGAACAUUACUUAUAAGCUUCACUUCACUUUCAAAUUGUUCAUCCAUCUUAUGGCAUCAGCCUUCACUGAUAACUCUUUGAAACCAUUCUACCAGCAAAAUGGUUUCAGAGUACAACUCUCUGAAACCAUUCUACCAGCUAAAUGGUUUUAGAGUAUAACUCUCUGAAACCAUUCUAAAAUCAAUUUUAAACACCUCAAUAAAAAAAGCCUAACAUACACAGUGAUUAGAAACAGAAAAUGGAUCAUGUGCCUUUCUAAAGGUGAGAUUUGUUAAGGUCCAACUCAAAAAUAGAUCAUUUAAGCAACAGAAAAUUCAUAGAAGAAACAUACAUUUAAUGAGAUAUAAACAAUAGGAAUGGACCAAAAAAUGUAUCUUGGAAUUUGAUCUGAAUAUGCAUAUGAAACCUGAAUAU